UACGAAGGUGGCAAGCGUUGUCCGGAAUUACUGGGUGUAAAGGGCGUGUAGGCGGGACUGCAAGUCAGAUGUGAAAGUCCCAGGCUCAACCUGGGGGCUGCAUCUGAAACUGUGGUUCUUGAGUGCUGGAGAGGAAAGCGGAAUUCCUAGUGUAGCGGUGAAAUGCGUAGAUAUUAGGAGGAACACCAGUGGCGAAGGCGGCUUUCUGGACAGUAACUGACGCUGAGGCGCGAAAGCGUGGGGAGUAAACAGG
rnacentral:rRNA from 1 species